GGCUAUAUUGUGAUUGGUUGAAAGAAGCGUCUUACUAAGAUGGUCAAUUUGCCCGCCAAGUAGCAAAACCUUCGGGCAAGUGAACACUAGACAGGAUGCAGGAUGCAGGAUGCAGCAGGAUAUGCUAUUCAUGUAAUAUGAUGUAUGGCUCCUGUGGCUUGUAUUGCUAUUCCUCACAAACUAGUUGAAGUGGAGAACAGAAAUGAUGAAGUUAUAGGAAGAAAACAAUCAAAUGCUCUUGAUAGUCAAUCAAGUCCAGGUUGCUGGAGCACUCAAGCAUUGAAAUUGAAAGAAUAGCUGUGCGCGAUCAUUUUCCUCUCGAUGACCAUGAUGAAGACCUUUAGCUUAGGGGUACUGAGGGACUCCGGCGGACAAAACCUAUGUUAAUAUACAGGUGCACAGUAGUCUACAUCAAAAAGCACAAUACAGACC
rnacentral:sRNA from 1 species